CCUACGGGAGGCAGCAGUGGGGAAUUUUUCGCAAUGGGGGCAACCCUGACGAAGCAAUGCCGCGUGGAUGAAGAAGGCCUUCGGGUUGUAAAGUCCUUUCGUGGGGGACGAAAAGGUGGUUCCUAAUACGAGCUACUGUUGACGUGAACCCAAGAAGAAGCACCGGCUAACUCCGUGCCAGCAGCCGCGGUAAUACGGGGGGUGCAAGCGUUAAUCGGAAUCACUGGGCGUAAAGGGUGCGUAGGCGGUACGUUAGGUCUGUCGUGAAAUCCCCGGGCUCAACCUGGGAAUGGCGGUAGAAACCGGCGCACUAGAGUAUGGGAGAGGGUGGUGGAAUUCCAGGUGUAGCGGUGAAAUGCGUAGAGAUCUGGAGGAACAUCAGUGGCGAAGGCGGCCACCUGGCCCAAUACUGACGCUGAGGCACGAAAGCGUGGGGAGCAAACAGGAUUAGAUACCCUGGUAGUCCACGCCCUAAACGAUGAAUACUAGAUGUUUGGUACCUAGCGUACUGAGUGUCGUAGCUAACGCGAUAAGUAUUCCGCCUGGGA
rnacentral:rRNA from 1 species